rnacentral:lncRNA from 1 species
GAUGUAAUAUUAUUUAUUUUUUUUUUUUCUUUUAGAUAUGUAUUUUAUACUUCUAUAACACACAUAAUAUUUACGUUCAUCAAAAUGGAAUUCUUAUUGUUGGAAGAAAAAUAUAAAAACAUUGUGGUUAAAACUUAAUUCGGAAAUGUUAUUUAUUCAUGUGUGUUUUUUUUUUUUUUUUUUUAAACUUAUAUGUUGUUGUCUAAUUGUUGUAAUUAUGUGUUCAGUUUAUAUUUUGUCUAAAAAAAAAAAAAAAAAAACACGUUAAAAUAUUACUUUAUUUUAAAAAAAUAGCUAUUUUUUUUUGUUCCUUUUUUUUUAUAUUAAAAGGAUAAGUCAAACUAUGAAAAUAUGAUUCUUAAGAGAGAAACAGAAUGCCUACAAAAAAAAAUCAAGAAUUUAGAAGAUGUUUAUAUCGAAAAAGAAAAUAAAAUUAUGGAAAUAUUAGAAGAGAAAGAAGAUCUUAAAGAUCAUAUAUUCGAAAUAGAAAACGAAAAUUCCAAACUAAGGGAUAAUAUUGCCAAGCUUAAUGAAAGAAUAUUAGAUUUAACAGAUGUGUGUAAAACAUACAGACAUAUGAUUAAAACUAGAAACAAAGAAUUACAACAAAGUGAUAUCUUAAUUAUAGAGAAUAAGAACUUAAGAAAUAUUAUUGAAGUACUGCUCCGUAAUCUUAUAUCUUUAAUGUGUAUAUAUUUGUAUAUUCGUAUAUUUGUUUGUAUGUAUGUGCACAUGUAUACAUGUACGUACGAACGUCCGAUGUGAUACAGUUUGCAUGAACUAUAUUUUGUAUCUUCAUUUUGACUUUUUUUUUUUUUUUUUUUUUUUCUGUAAGGAUAUGAAGAACCAUAAAUUAUUAUUAGAAUCGAAGAUCACAAAAAAAAAUAAAAUAAUUGAUGUGAUUAAGGAAAAAUACCA